rnacentral:miRNA from 1 species
UUGCUGCGGGUGUCAGGAAGACA